UUUUUUUUUUUAAUGUGCGUGCGCAUGGUUCUUGUGCAUGUGUUUAUGUGACUUUCCAAAACAACUAAGAGUUGAUUUUUGCAUGAGAGUUCACCGAGGGUUUGUUUGAAAAUUCCAGCUGGGGCUUGAUUUCCUGCUGAGUGUACAUUUGACAACCUAUCUACCUAUCGCCUAUAUCAGAACACCUGACAGCCCGGAUCUCGCCGGAAGCAUAAAAAGGCCUUCGUGGUUAUUUUUUGAAAAAUUCUUUGUGCACCGCAUGCGGUAUACAAAAUCCGAUAUGUAGCGCAUUACUAUAUCCGAUUGAUCUAUGUAGCCAUUAUUUUCUAAUAUGUAUUUAAUAUCAGUAGAUCAAUUUUUCGUUUAAAAAUUUUGUAUGACAAAAAUACUCUUC
rnacentral:lncRNA from 1 species